UGUUAUGUCGGCAGAUCAUCGAACAGUGGGCCGCGAUGUUGGAUUUUUUUUACUGAUCGUCCCCGUAUGCAAGGGGUGGCUUGCGACUUACUGCCGGAGGUACGACGGGAGCUGUGACACGCUGACAGAGCGCCUUAACUGCCUGGGCCCCAGCAGCAGGCCGCCGCCGGAGUGACGGCUUCUAUGGCGAAGUAAGGUGGCGGCAGCGUGAGCCCGAGGCGCGAAAUCGCAGCGCAAUCAGGAGUACAGGUGGAGGGCCGUUUGAUUUGGCGACGCACGUUCGGUAGACAACGCCCGCAUCGCUUCGGCGGCCCUGCGUUCCCAAGGCCCGCGGCGUCCAGCAGCGCUGCCGAUAGUAUAGAGACAAGGAGCCGCACAGCAUUGCAAGAAUGUAAACCCCAUCACAUCCAGUGGUGCCCAGCUGUGAACCACUGCACAGCGUGAUCCCACCUUUGCCUACCCGCCUAGUACGUGCCUACUGUAGCCGGAUCAUCGCUAUUGUUGUUGUAAAGGUCCGCAUCUUCUCAUUCGAGUUCCUUCAGUGCAAGGGAUGUCGUCUGGCUCAGACAGCUGCUGCAGAACACCGAGGUUGUGAAGCACCACACAAACUGCGAUGAUCAUCAACCUGAAGAGUGGGCCGUAGUGUUGUGUACCUCUGCAGGCCUUGAGGACCCCAAUGUGCGAUUACACAACACACCACAGUGACGAGUGGGUACAGUUGAAUCAGGCAGCAGGGGAUCCUGCACGGUGUGCUCCAGGGAUGGCGUUGAGCAGCCAAAGUUGCAGCGGGUGCCCAUUCCAGUUCCCUGAUGGAUCUGCGGAGUCGGAUAUCUGGCACUGCGGAGAACCGAGCUGAUUGCAGUACCAGCACUCUGAAGAAGUUUCGAGGCAAGGCAAGACUGACUUCACGUGUGGAGUGGAAUCAUGUUGAUAUUCGGUGCAACGUUUGUGUGCACACUGUGUUCAGUCAAAAAACAUUUACUGAUACAUUGAUUUAUAGUCAGCUGCCUGCUCCUGAAAUAUAGAAAUCUUGUGAUUCUCUUGGGCAGAAGAGAUCUUGCCAUAAUCACUGUCACGGCCAGAAGUGACGCUGGCCAUGGCACAGAGUUUGCACACAUCUAUGUCUUAUAUGUAUAUAAUGUAAGGUACCCAUAAAAGGGGAUGGCGGAUGUAAAUGGUGUGUGCUCGGCUUGCAAUGGAGGCAAUUGAUUCACGAAUAACUUCACGUUUUCCUGCCUUUGUGUGAUCGGGGCCAGGGCUUUAAGUCGGGCGGGGGGGGGGGCAGCCGCCCCCUCCAUUUUAUGAGGAGGGGCUCGCCCCCCCUCUGCAAGUCACCUGUAUAGCUUUGCGGCACCCAUUUAACAUGCGCUGGAGUUGAUUUUUUGCGCAAGAGUGCUUUCUGCGGGGAAAUUAUAACUCUCCAAUUUUCCGAGACACUGCACAUUUUCCCGAGACACUGCACACAAUGGGUCGCCACCGUGUUCGACUAAGCUCCACUAGCAAAAUAUAAUCCUUUCAUGUUUAAGAUGUCCCCGCCGCAAAGGUGUAUUCACAAUACCGUAUCUACAGCUUAAUCCCGAGCGUUCAGUUCGUCAACAAUAGUUACUUCUUCGCGGUAGCAGGGCUCAGCUUGGGAGAGCGGAGCUCGUUAAUCAGUGUAUCGCUACACCUCUGUUUUUAAAGUAUUUCUGACGGUAAUGCGCUGCACAGCCAGAUAAAAGACCUCCAGGGGUCAGUAAUAUCUGCAACAGAAUGUCUUUUCAACUGUGAAAAGGAAUUCUAGAAAAAAUCCGGGAUGACUUGUGGCGUAGGUGGCUGUUUUGGUCGGCGGUACAUGGCAGUAUGAAAAGCUUUUGGAGGGGAGGGGGGUGGCUGAAGCCCCAUAAGCCACCUCCCUGGCUACGCCCCUGAUUAUAUAUAUAUAUAUAUAUAUAUAUAUAUAUGCUUUGCGAAGUAGAGG